UCGGCACUGUCAUUACAGCAAACAUAACCGUAACCUGCAAGAAACACACCAAACCAUAACAGUCAAUUUAGAAACAUGCCGGAUACACAAGCUACCCAAAACCGAGUACAAAACCGAAACCAAUGUUCAAAUUUUCAUUACAGUAAAAAGAACAAAUAGCAAGGUAGUCGAAUUUCAAGAAAUCCAAAUUCCAAAGGAGUUCCAACCACAGCAUGAUUUCCAUUAAACCACAUGGAAUUCGGUUUUGACCAACUCAACUGGUAUUAGUCCUGCUAGCAUCAUCUCAUUCUCCAUUUGAAACACAUGUUGCCAAUUAUGCUAGCAUGCCAGCCUAACCGAGUCCAGCUUGACCUGUUAUAAUACAAACCUGCGACAAACAAUAAUUAACAUAACAGCAGUACAACAGCCGGUAAGAAGUAAUAAACCAACUGCAGCAAAAUGUUAAACCACUCCAACAAUGAAGCAUACCUUGUGGCAAGCAACAGCAGACUUUACCGGUGGACAAGCCAGCAUUCAUAGGCGACACUUUAUGCAAAUGCCCUCAAGGUUUGUUAGG
rnacentral:lncRNA from 1 species